rnacentral:lncRNA from 1 species
GUGUCUGUGGUAUCUGGCUCUCGAGAUUCGGAGAACGAUGCCUCUUCGAUUUUUGAGAAAGCAAUCAUGCUGGGGGUCUGACUCUCGAGAUUCGGAGAGCAGUGUCUCUUCGAUUUUUUAGGAAGUAAUCAUGUUAGGAGUCUGGCUCUCGAGAUUCGGAAGGCGGUGCCUCUUCGAUUUUGGAGCAAGCAAUCUUGUUGGGAGUGUUGUCUCGAAUGUGAGUAAAGGUUGGACAUGUUUGCUAGUCUACCUUGCCACGAAGCACAAAGGUUGACACACAGGGACUUUCCAAUUAUCCAGCAAUGGUACUGUUCCUUUACCCUCUCUUCGAUUUUGAGAAAGUAGUCAUGUUGGGAGUCUGGCUCUCGAGAUUCGGAGGACGGUGCCUCUUCGAUUUUGGAGCAAGCAAUCUUGUUGGGACUGUUUUCUCGAAUGUGAGUAAAGGUUGGGCAUGUUUGCUAGUCUACCUACCUUGCCACGAAGCACAGAGGUUGACACACAGGGACUUUCCAAUUAUCCAGCAGUGGUACUGUUCCUAUACCCUUGUGGGUAAUAAUAUGGUAGCUAGACCUUCAAAAUUUAUGUGUCUAAACUUUGUUAGUGCUGUUUCUUUGCUAUUCUUUUACCUUUCUUGGUCAGAGCGAUGUAGUGGGAGCUGCAAGCUUCACGUGCUCAACUUUGGCAGAGAACUUUGACAAAGUGAUCUGUGGUACCCAUGAGUUAUUGUUGCGUGUGGGAAGUGGGUGAUUGAACAAUAAGAUUCAUGUGCUUUCUACUUCACCAGAAGUCUUCGACAGAAUGCCCAUAAUUUCUGCAAAGCUGAGUGUGCGUGUGACAGGUGCUGACAAGGCUAGAAAAGUAGAUGCCUCUUCGAUUUCUGAGAUCGGCCCUCGUGGUCUCUGAGCAGCCCAGCUUUUGAGAAAGCGAGCGCCUCUUCGAUUGAUUCGAAGAACGGUG